rnacentral:rRNA from 1 species
UACAGCCAUAUCACAUUGAAACACCAGUUCUUGUUCAAUCACCAAAGUUAAGCAAUAUUGAGCAUGGUCAAUACCUAGAUGGGUGACUGCUUGGGAAUAUCAGGUGCU